rnacentral:snRNA from 1 species
CAGAUUACCUGGCAGGGGUGAUACCAUGAUCACAAAGGUGGUUUUCUCAGGAUGAGGCUUAUCCAUUGCACUCCAAAUGUGCUGACCCCUGCAGUUUCCCCAAAUGUGAUAAAGGGGACUUGAUUUGUACUC